CGGCGGCGCUGCGUGCGUCCGCUCGGGUGGAGCUGCUGCGUGCGUCCGCUCCUGUGGUUGGGUUUUUCUUUUUUUUCAAGAUAAGGUUUUGGCAUAUUAUUGGUUAGCUUUUAGGUCUAAGUCCUUUACCGACUACUAUGAGGUCAGACAGUCGGUAAAGGCGCGAUAUAUUUUAUUUACAAAUAUUCUUUGCCGACUGUUUGGAUUUAGGGCA
rnacentral:lncRNA from 1 species